UACGGGGGGGGUAAGCGUUGUUCGGAAUUACUGGGCGUAAAGGGCUCGUAGGCGGCCAACUAAGUCGGACGUGAAAUCCCUCAGCUUAACUGGGGAACUGCGUCCGAUACUGGAUGGCUUGGAUUUGGGAGAGGGAUGCGGAAUUCCAGGUGUAGCGGUGAAAUGCGUAGAUAUCGAGAGGAACACCUGCGGCGAAGGCGGGUUGCUGGGCUGAUACUGACGCUGAGGCGCGAAAGCCAGGGGAGCAAACGGG
rnacentral:rRNA from 1 species